rnacentral:rRNA from 1 species
GACGAACGCUGGCGGCGUGCUUAACACAUGCAAGUCGAACGGAAAGGCCCUGCUUUUGUGGGGUGCUCGAGUGGCGAACGGGUGAGUAACACGUGAGUAACCUGCCCUUGACUUUGGGAUAACUUCAGGAAACUGGGGCUAAUACCGGAUAGGAGCUCCUGCUGCAUGGUGGGGGUUGGAAAGUUUCGGCGGUUGGGGAUGGACUCGCGGCUUAUCAGCUUGUUGGUGGGGUAGUGGCUUACCAAGGCUUUGACGGGUAGCCGGCCUGAGAGGGUGACCGGCCACAUUGGGACUGAGAUACGGCCCAGACUCCUGCGGGAGGCAGCAGUGGGGAAUAUUGCACAAUGGGCGGAAGCCUGAUGCAGCAACGCCGCGUGCGGGAUGACGGCCUUCGGGUUGUAAACCGCUUUCGCCUGUGACGAAGCGUGAGUGACGGCAAUGGGUAAAGAAGCACCGGCUAACUACGUG